rnacentral:ncRNA from 1 species
AUAGGCGAAGCCGAAAACCUUAAAUAGAGUAGGCA